AUUGAACGCUGGCGGCAUGCCUUACACAUGCAAGUCGAACGGUAACGGGUCCUUCGGGAUGCCGACGAGUGGCGAACGGGCGAGUAAUAUAUCGGAACGUGCCCAGUAGUGGGGGAUAACUGCUCGAAAGAGCAGCUAAUACCGCAUACGACCUGAGGGGGAAAGGGGGGGAUCGCAAGACCUCUCGCUAUUGGAGCGGCCGAUAUCAGAUUAGCUAGUUGGUGGGGUAAAGGCCUACCAAGGCAACGAUCUGUAGUUGGUCUGAGAGGACGACCAGCCACACUGGGACUGAGACACGGCCCAGACUCCUACGGGAGGCAGCAGUGGGGAAUUUUGGACAAUGGGCGCAAGCCUGAUCCAGCAAUGCCGCGUGCAGGAAGAAGGCCUUCGGGUUGUAAACUGCUUUUGUCAGGGAAGAAAUCUUCUGGGCUAAUACCCCGGGAGGAUGACGGUACCUGAAGAAUAAGCACCGGCUAACUACGUGCCAGCAGCCGCCGUAA
rnacentral:rRNA from 1 species